GUAGGUUCCUGUUGUUUAUCUAUUUUAUAUACAUUAGUAGUGUGUACCAACUGUUCUUAAUUGCAGCACAUCAGGUUAGCUUCACUUGUCCUUGAAUAGAAUAGAAUUAAAAUAGAAAUAGAAUAACAAAGCCUAUGUACUCUUGUGGCUGGCUUCAUUCAUCAUUAUGCUUUUGAUAUUCAUCCAAAUUGUUGAAUGCACUGGUGGUUAAUUUUUUUUUUAUGAAUAUAAUUUUUUUUCCUUUCCCUGUUGUUGGAUAUUUGGGUUAUUUCCAGCUUGAAGUUACUGAUGAAGAAGACUGCUAUCAGUAUUUUUGUGCAAGCUUUUCUUGAAAUGUGUGUCCUAAGAAAUCUUUGCCUCUUAGGUCAUAAAGUCGUUUCUUAUGUCCUUAAAGAAGCUUUUUUUUUUAAAAUGUUUGUAACUGUGAUCUGUGUCAAAAUAAUUUUUACGUAUAAUGUGAGGUGAGGAUCAAGUUUCAUUUUUAUCUGGUUGUUCAAACCCUGUUUGUUGAAAAGAAACCUUUCUUUCUCCAUUUGAUUACUUUGCAUUGUCUGUUGAGAAUCAAUGAGUCAUUUAUGUAUAGAUCUGUCCAGGAGUUUCUGUUUAGUUCCAUUGAUCUAUGUACUUACCUUAAUUCUCAUAGCACACUGUUUUAAUUACUGUAGCUGUAGAAUAAGUAUUAAAAUCAUAGAAUGAGUAUUUAUGUAUUGAUUUUUCUCAUUAGGUCAUACAAGUGCAUUUAUAGACCUCUUGACAAUGAAGAUAAACUGCAUCCAGUGUCCUAUAUGGUGCUGAGUGGCCCCGUCGGUUUUCAGCACUGCAGUGAUUUUCAACCCACGGACACAAUAGAUCGUGCCAUCAGACAUCAUGAUAUAGAUGGUUGAUCUGCUGGUGGAAAAUGUCCCUUUGAGUACCCUGCGAUGCCCCUUCCUCCGUCGCUGCCUCACUGAGUCUCCUGUAGGGGGAGAACAGAUGUUGUAUGGAUGAUGAACCCUAGGCACCCAGCUGGGGCUGCAUUUGUGUGGAUUCCGGCUCAGUUGGAGAGAUCUGCAAGUUCAAAGCCUGUGCCUUCUUUCCAAAUGGGAUCCCCCCUCUUGCCUUCUCUCCCUCACUUCCCACCCCGCCUGCCUCCCAUCAGGACUCUCCCCACUCCACCUCAUAGCUGCCUCCUGGCCUCCUCCUAGCCUACAGACAGCCUGAAU